rnacentral:rRNA from 1 species
AACGAACGCUGGCGGCAUGCCUAACACAUGCAAGUCGAACGAGACCUUCGGGUAUAGUGGCGCACGGGUGCGUAACGCGUGGGAACCUGCCCUUAGGUUCGGAAUAACUCCCCGAAAGGGGUGCUAAUACCGGCUAAUGUCGUCGGACCAAAGAUUUAUCGCCUUUGGAUGGGCCCGCGUUGGAUUAGCUAGUUGGUAGGGUAAAAGCCUACCAAGGCGACGAUCCAUAGCUGGUCUGAGAGGAAGAUCCGCGACACUGGGACUGAGACACGGCCCAGACUCCUACGGGAGGCAGCAGUGGGGGAUAUAGGAAAACGGGCGAAAGCAUGAACCAGCAAGGCCGCGUGAGUGCUGAAGGCCUGAGGGUUGUAAAUCUCUUUUACCCGGGAGGAUAAUGACAGUACCGUGAGAAUAAGCACCGGCUAACUCCGUG